rnacentral:rRNA from 1 species
AUUGAACGCUGGCGGCAUGCUUUACACAUGCAAGUCGAACGGUAACAGGCCGCAAGGUGCUGACGAGUGGCGAACGGGUGAGUAAUGCAUCGGAACGUGCCCAGUCGUGGGGGAUAACUACUCGAAAGAGUAGCUAAUACCGCAUACGAUCUAUGGAUGAAAGCGGGGGACCGUAAGGCCUCGCGCGAUUGGAGCGGCCGAUGUCAGAUUAGGUAGUUGGUGGGGUAAAGGCUCACCAAGCCAACGAUCUGUAGCUGGUCUGAGAGGACGACCAGCCACGCUGGGACUGAGACACGGCCCAGACUCCUACGGGAGGCAGCAGUGGGGAAUUUUGGACAAUGGGCGCAAGCCUGAUCCAGCAAUGCCGCGUGCAGGAAGAAGGCCUUCGGGUUGUGAACUGCUUUUGUACGGAACGAAACGGCUCUGGUUAAUACCCGGGGCUAAUGACGGUACCGUAAGAAUAAGCACCGGCUAACUACGUG